UACUUUUAUAGUGUUUCAUAAUUAAAUAUUUGCUGAUUGAGUAGGGUUUUUUUAAAUUUUUAUUUUAUUUUAUUUUAUUUUUUACUUCUCCCAUCUUCCUGCUGGAAGUAUUGUUUAGUUGUACAUGACAACCAAUGUUAUAAAGGCUGUUUUGCAAAAGAAACCUGAAAGGGUAAUGCAUAGAAUGCAUUGAAAUGGUCAACUAUUAAAGCUCUUAUUUCAGGCCAUCACCUGAAUUGAAAUUAUUUUUAUACAAAUAAAAGUAUAAAAAUUGACCUUAAUCUGAUAUAUUCUCUAUACAAGUGAUUAGAAAACUUGAAUUAUAUUUUUGCCUUUUAAUUUUUGUUAAUCAUUCCCAGCAACUUAUUCCAUAUGUGGAAGAAGAUGGCUCAAAGAAUGAUGAUCGGGCUGGCCCACCUCGUUUUGCUAGUGAAGAGAGGCGAGAAAUUGCUGAAGUAAAUAAAAAACUCAAACAGAAGAAUCAACAGCUGAAACAAAUUAUGGAUCAAUUACGAAAUCUCAUCUGGGAUAUAAAUGCCAUGUUGGCAAUGAGGAACUAAGCUGAUAUUUAAAUUUCCUGCUUU
rnacentral:lncRNA from 10 species